AAUAAAUAUACGCUUAAUCCUUAAAGGGAACGGGGGAACCGAACUGUGCAUCUGCACUGGGGUGAAUCCUUAAAGUACUAGGUAGGACAACUCUUCGUCCGAAUCCGACAGCUAACCUCGUAUGCACUGGAGAGACUCAUC
rnacentral:sRNA from 2 species